rnacentral:tRNA from 1 species
ACUUAAAUAAUUUAAAAUUAAAAUAUUGAUUUGUGGAAUCAAAUAUAUGAUAUAUUCAUUUUAGGUC